rnacentral:lncRNA from 1 species
AAAUUCUGGGUUUUCGAAUUGAAAGAGAUAUUGAGAGAGAUCAAGAAUUCUCACUAUUUAGUAGAUUCAUGGACCCAAUUGAAUUCAGUGGGAUCUUUCAUUAACAUUUUUUUUCACCAAGAACGUUUUAUAAAACUCUUGGACCCCCGAAUUUUUAGUAUCCUACUUUCACGCAAUUCACAGGGUUCAACAAGCAAUCGAUAUUUCACGAUCAGGGGUGUAGUACUAUUUGUUGUAGUAGCGGUCCUUAUAUAUCGUAUUAACAAUCGAAAUAUGGUCAAAAGAAAAAAUAUCUACUUAACAGGGCUUGACGUGGAUUGAACGGUUUAUGAUAGGUUCUGAUACCACUUGUCAUGAGUCGAGAUUUUUAGUAUCCUACUUUCACGCAAUUCACAGGGUUCAACAAGCAAUCGAUAUUUCACGAUCAGGGGUGUAGUACUAUUUGUUGUAGUAGCGGUCCUUAUAUAUCGUAUUAACAAUCGAAAUAUGGUCGAAAGAAAAAAUCUCUACUUGACAGGGCUU